rnacentral:rRNA from 1 species
UCUAUUUUACUACUGUAUCUCUGAAUGCUUCAACUUAAUAAGUUAAAACUUUCAACAACGGAUCUCUUGGUUCUGGCAUCGAUGAAGAACGCAGCGAAAUGCGAUAAGUAAUGUGAAUUGCAUAAUUCAGUGAAUCAUCGAAUCUUUGAACGCACAUUGCGCCCAUUAGUAUUCUAGUGGGCAUGCCUAUUCGAGCGUCAUUUCAACCCUUAAGCCUAGUUGCUUAGUGUUGGGAAUCUGCCCUGUAUUUAUAGGGCAGUUCCUUAAAGUGAUCGGCGGAGUUAGGGCAUACUCUAAGCGUAGUAAUAUUCUUCUCGCUUCUGUAGUUGUCCUGGCGGCUUGCCGUUAAACCCCUAUAUUU